rnacentral:lncRNA from 13 species
AAUCAAUAAAUGUAACUAUAAUUUUUAUCUACUUACUUAUAACCUAAUUUCCUUCUAACAUUAUCUGAGAUGGUGUAGGUGAACACCAUCUCAAUUCAACAGGAAAAAAUAAAAUCACAAAAAAAGAGAAAAGGUUAAAAAGUAAAACAGAGUUAUAAAACAUAAGCCACAAAAUGCAUUCCUAAUGCAUAUAAUGGCUACAGAUAGCUCCCGAUUUGUUUUGAAUUUCCCAGUAAAUAAGAAAAAAAAAAAAAAAAAAAAAAAAAAGACCCUGGGAAACAUAGUGAGACCUCACCCCCUACAAAUAAUAAUAAUAAUGAAAAAAUAUCCAGGCAUGGUGGUGUACACCUGUAGUACCAUCUACUCAGAAGGCUGAAGCAAGAGAAUCACUUGAGCCUAGGAAAUGCUUACAGUUUUCCUACGUUUUGAAUACCAAAGUCUGCUUUAAAGAAUGACAAAACCAUGUUGAUUUGAUCAGGAGCAAACAAAAAUUGCUAUGUCUCUAGGUUGUAUUGAAAACUUGGACCCAUGUGCCUAUUUUCUAUUAAUAGUCUUAAUACAGAUGGAAAAAAAAACACAAACCUUUCAGAUACUCAUAUGGGUGUGGAAGAAGCCUCCUGAAAUGAGGAAUCAGGAGGGAAGGCUUUAGGAGAACAGGUUUCUCACAAACAUUUCCUGCUCAGACUUGUUUUAGACAGACUGAAAAUUUUACAGGAACAGGUUUCUUAUUAUAUCCCUUUUAGCCUCCUGAACAGAAAUCAGCUGGCUUUGGAUUAUUAGAAAAGUAUCAAGCCUUUUCAAACCUCAAGCAAAAAGAAGAGUUUCAUUGAAAGCUUUUUCCUUUAAUUCCACCCAUAUAUCUGUAAGUAUGUUUCUACAUAACAGUUUCUGCAUAUUUCAGAUGCUUUCUUAAUUUGCAGUCUCCCAAAAUAUGGUUAAGUCAAAUCAAAUGUCAAAUUCAAACACCUGCUACAAAUAAACAAGCUUAACAAAAGCUUCUCUGGCUUCUC